AACAACCAUAUAAAUGCAAAGCCGCAUUAAGGCAACUACUAGAGAGUUGCCAGUGCUACAAAAUGCAAGCAGUAGAAAUUAUUGUGUUGUUAGUAACAAUAUUAAAGUUAACUCAUGCACAACAACUUAACACAAAUUCAUUUCCUGAUGACUUUUUAUUUGGUGUAGGGACUUCUGCGUAUCAAGUUGAAGGAGCAUGGAAUGAAAGUGGUACUGUACAGUUAUACGU